CCUACGGGAGGCAGCAGUGGGGAAUAUUGCACAAUGGGGGAAACCCUGAUGCAGCGACGCCGCGUGAGUGAAGAAGGAUUUCGGUACGUAAAGCUCUAUCAGCAGGGAAGAAAAUGACGGUACCUGACGAAGAAGCCACGGCUAACUACGUGCCAGCAGCCGCGGUAAUACGUAGGGGGCAAGCGUUAUCCGGAUUUACUGGGCGUAAAGGGAGCGUAGGCGGCAGCGUAAGUCAGAAGUGAAAUCCCAGGGCUUAACCUGGGAACUGCAUUUGAAACUGUGCAGCUGGAGUGCAGGAGAGGAGAGCGGAAUUCCUAGUGUAGCGGUGAAAUGCGUAGAUAUUAGGAGGAACACCAGUGGCGAAGGCGGCUUACUGGACUGUAACUGACGUUGAGGCUCGAAAGCGUGGGGAGCAAACAGGAUUAGAUACCCUUGUAGUC
rnacentral:rRNA from 1 species